rnacentral:rRNA from 1 species
AUAUCACUAAGCGGAGGAGAAGAAAUUAACUAAGAUUGCCUCAGUAGCGGCGAGCGAAGCGGCAAGAGCCCAAACUGGAAAUCUUGUACACCACGUGUGCACGAAUUGUAAUCUAAAGAUGGUUCGCUCACCGGGCGGUGGCGCAGAAGUGCCCUAGAACGGGCCGCCAGAGAGGGUGACAGCCCCGUACGUGGUGCCACUGUCUAACGAGCGGGUUAUCGAAGAGUCGGGUUGUUUUGUAUUGCAGCCCUAAGUGGGAGAUAAACUUCUUCUAAGGCUAAAUAUCUAUGGGAGACCGAUAGCGCACAAGUA